rnacentral:lncRNA from 13 species
UUUUUUAAAAGUUGGUUGAAGAUUUUAAGAUCAAAACAGUCCGGUUUUAGUUAGAUGUUAGAUUUAAGUUUACGUGUUAAACCACUGCACAACAACAUUUAAUUGCUAUUUUUAUGUGUACUGUAUUUGUCUGAAAUUAUAUCUUAGUUUGCCUUUCAAGUCGUGGGCCAAAAACACAAGACAUUUCUCCAUAAAACUAACCAAAAAUUGAAGUUGAACCCAAUUUUUUUUUAACGAACAAAAGUUCUAAAUUCCUGCUGGCCAAAGAUGUUAAGUGGACAGAGAUCUACCCCGCUCGUCAUCAAGUAGUUGUGUCCUUUACAGUAGCCUACUGUNNNNNNNNNNGGGGGGGGGGGGACGUUUGGGAACCCCUGAUCUAUAACCAACAACAGAACACAAGGACAAUUUAUUAUUAUUGCAAAUAAAAUAUGUGAAAGUCGAUGCCAAACCCCCGGAUAGGACAACUGAGGUAUUUCAGAUUAGACUCACACACACACACACAGGGACACGCGCAAGUGCGCUCACACACACACACACACCCUGCCAUCUUGCUAUAGACAGAUCUAUAAAUUCAAGCCCCUGGAUGGAUGGGUUCUAACCAUUACUGUUCAUAACAGUUUAUUCCAUAGGACUCUGGAUGGAUGGGUUCUAACCGUUACUGUUCAUAACUGUUUAUUCCAUAGGACUCUGGAUGGAUGGGUUCUAACCGUUACUGUUCACUCCAUAGGACUCUGGAUGGAUGGGUUCUAACCGUUACUGUUCAUAACUGUUUAUUCCAUAGUACUCUGGAUGGAUGGGUUCUAACCGUUACUGUUUAUUCCAUAGGACUCUGAAUGAAUGGGUUCUGUUUGGGUGAAGAGACCGUAUUCAUUAAGACUCCCAGAGUAGGAGUGCUGUUCUCGGAUCAACUUUGUUAAGACUAUAAUGAAUGGACUGUGGGGGGGGGGGACGGGACCUGAUCCUAGAUGAGUACUCCUCCUCUGGGACACAUUAUGUAAUACAGGCAACCUGAAUCUCAACAGUAUGUCUUUUAACCCUUAAACUAUAGGACAACAUAAUGCCAUGGUAGGGACAGACAGAUACCCACUGUGGAAGUACAACAUAGUAUUAAUUAAUAUAUGUUGUGCUUUUACAUAUGAAUAAAAAAAAAAACAACAACAACAAUUCGUUAUCACCGUCAUCACGUGCUGUGACUUCCGAUGACUCGUGCUGAACCAGGAACUAGGAAAUAUCCCCUCUUCACAUGUAAAACGUCUGGUUAACUACGUGUUACAGUUUUGUCGGCAAUACGCAGCCCAGUGGACCAACCAGGAUAGGGUGUAACAUAUGCCCGUAGAGUCUCGUA